UACGUAGGGGGCAAGCGUUGUCCGGAAUCAUUGGGCGUAAAGCGCGUGUAGGCGGUUCGAUAAGUCUGCCGUGAAAGUCCAGGGCUCAACCCUGGAAAGCCGGUGGAUACUGUCGGACUAGAGUGCGGAAGAGGCGAGUGGAAUUCCCGGUGUAGCGGUGAAAUGCGCAGAUAUCGGGAGGAACACCAAUUGCGAAGGCAGCUCGCUGGGACGUUACUGACGCUGAGACGCGAAAGCGUGGGGAGCAAACAGG
rnacentral:rRNA from 1 species